CCCGCCGGGCCGAUCCCGCUCCGGCCCACGGCGCCACGUUCCGGGCCCGGCUCUGAGGGAACCGCACUGCCCCCGGCCCCGCCCCCGGGGCUGGGCUCUGGUCGGACCCCGGACGCCCCCCGCCCGACGGCGCCAGGCCCGCUCCGGCGCGGCCCUGCGCCGGACGUCCUGCGGCUGGAGCCCAGCCUCCCCGAGCCAGCGGUGGCCUCCCGCCUGAGGCCGGCCGUUCAGCUGUGCCCCGCUCCCGCCGAGGCAGCCCGCGCCUCUCCUCUGCCGGAGGUACGGGCAGUCGGUAGCCUGGCGGGGCUGAGGGCGAGCCCGGCCUCUACACGGGCCACACAAAGAAAGUAAGCAGCCUGCCUCUUCAGCUGACUCGCCGUGAAAACUUCCAAGCCCCAUCUUCACGGAGGAUACAGCUCCAAAAUCGUUGUAUUGCCAUAAAGCUAGAAGACCGUCUCCCAAAGGCGGCAGCAGCCUUAGCAACAGUCGCUUGAGGAAGGAACAGCACGCUUAGAAGAGCCGGAUUCUUCCUCAUUUUCAUGGAGACGCUUUCUUGUUGUGGUUGGCUAAAAGACAGAUACAGCAGGAUGGCUAUAUGAAAUAAGAACUGGGACGUGUCUGUCUUCUCCAGCAUCAACUGUUUUGACUGUGGCUACAUUUGAGUUGAUGGUAAGAGACUUGCCAGAAACAAACUCUGCAAGAUUCUGCACUGCCCACCCAAACAAACAAGAUGAGCAAGUGGGACUCUGUUACAAUGCUCAAAGGAGAAGGCCCAUCCUAUCAGAAGCAUAAUCAGGCUUGGUGUCUAAAAAACACAUCUUGAUUCUCAGAUAUUAAAGAGUUCUGAGAAGAGGUGUCUCAGAAAGGAUGCAGAAGCUGAUGACUGUAUUGAAAGAAGGUAUUCAGCAGAAUACUCCAUGCUCUUUUUGCAGUCCUCUCUGCAGGGACUAAAAAUCUGAAAGCACAGGCUAGCUACAGAUGCAGACUGGGCUUUAUUUUCUGAGAAAAAACUCCAGAGAUCCAGGAUUUUCCAUUAAAUUCAGAGCAGGUCACUGAGGUAUACAAAGGGUGUUGAAGCAGGACCAGAGUGUGGAGAGAAGCAGCUUAAUACCAGUAUCCUUCAAUAAAAAUAGAGAGGUCUGUCAACCUCUGCUGUUAAGCUGGCACCACAACUUCCAGCAGAAGCCAACUGGUUAGUGGGAAAGAAUAAUGCCAGCUUUUCUGUCACUAAAAUAGAGCAACAGACUUGCAACUUGCUGGAUGGCAUGGCACAGAAGUAGAAAGAACUGUACGUAUCACUUGUGCUCAACCACUAAUCUACAGUGUCGACCCAUGCAGAUAUUUGCAAGCUCUAGCUAUUCCAAGUCUUCCUGAGCAGAGACUGUGAGGACCUCAUUGUUGGGAUUUACCAUUAGGAUCACUGAAGUCUGAUCAUCUUAACACCAAAAUCAGUAUCAUCUUCCUCCCACAAAGAAAAUACGGUUGUUCUGAUAGAAAGGCCAGAGGUGACAAGACUGCAUCAAUCCUGACACACUACUCAUCUAAAAGUGAUAGGCUGGAACAGGACCUAGUUUAGCUUGACAGAACACUUCAGUACUCUACAAUGCCUAUGAAACAUGAUCCAAAGUCAAACAUCCAUGGGAUAACCACGGAAUAGUGAACAUAUAAACCAUGAAACACCUUCUUCCAGCUGGACAGGUGGACCAAUUAUAGAAUCUGAGUCCUUCUCCAUUACCUGAAUACAAGUUACUGAAGAUGCAUCAACCAUGAGUCAUUGCAGAUUUAGUCUGAAAGAAUCACAUUACUUGGCAAGGACCCAAGCUGCUUUGAUCCACCUUUAUUAUAUGAUGAUGUAAUAAAGAUCAUGAGACCAAGAGAACAAAAAGCUCUCCUAUACAACUUCUUACAACUGUCGCCAAGGGUCCCAACACUGCAAGAAGACACAUUCCAGCAUGGGUCAGGCUGCAUCAAGAGGCAAUCAAAUUAGUCAAGGCUGAGAAAUGCCCUCAGCCUGUACAGAGAGGGUAUAUGAAGUCAUGUGAGCUGCAGUGCUGCUAGAUAGUUAAACCACAAAGACGAUGCAUUAUCCAGAUAAUAAAGAGGAAAGGCAACAGACAUAAAACUAAGGAUAGUGUGGCCACUUUGGAGAAGAAAGCAAGAAGUUACUGAUUAAUUUUUCUCUAUGGCAAAAGAGUGGGUAUUGUGGCAAGGUAAAACCUACAUAUGGAGACCUCGUGACAAGGUGGAGGGCAAAGGAGAAGUCAAAUUAAAAGGGAAAUCAAGCAAAGAUGUGUUUAGGGUGAGAAAAGGCACUGAACAGCAUCAGGCAAGGCUACAAGACUACAAAUAGUAGCAACAACGGUUGAGAAGGAUCACGGAACUGAAGGACCGAGAAAGCAUACCAUGCUGAAAAAGGGGCAAUAAGAAGUGGUAAGAGCUAAUGAAGGCUUUGCCAGGGACAGGGGCCAAGAAAGUAAAUACACUGAAAAACAACAGAGGGUCUAUUUGCCAUUGCAAGAGGAAAGGACAAGGAGAACAAGAAAAGAACAAAAUCUGUAUGCUGCAGAGACAGCAUUUGCUUGUUAAGAGAAUGAAGAAGCAACUCUUUUUAUGCAUGCUGCAAGAAAGAGAAGGCCUCCCACAAGGGCUUUGACACACAACAAGGUGCUGCAAGAUCAUCUUGGUUCCAACAGACAGACAUGGAAACAGUCUGUUCAAGGUGCUCACUCUGUUUGGUUUAGAGUUGUCCAACAGGGAAAUGGUGGCUACAGUAUCUGAGCCAAUGUCAUCCUAUAGGUUGGGAUCUGAUGGCUCCUAUUCCUACGUGUCAUUGACAAUGCCAGUAAAACAAACAAUCCCUAAACAUACGGAAUUUUCUUUCUCUCUUCUCUUUCUCUAAGUAGGCAGCAGGAUCUCUCUGGUCUUACAGCAGCCAGCAGAAACUGUACAGCCAGUUGGCACACAGACAGCAAUUUGUGCCCAUGGGAACCACCAAAUGGCAGUUGCUCUUCUGCUGGCUACUGUCAGAGACAGCCUACGUACAGACUUCAGCUCUGACUUAAGGUAACAGUUGUUAUUCCCAUGAAGCUAAAGAAUUGAAGCUCUCAUUGCUCAUCGUUAUAUCCCUUUUACAGUAUUCUCCACAGAAGCAGGAUCAGGCACGCAUUACAUCUCUGGUGACCAGAGAAGUCAAGUGUUCCCCUGCUUCCUAUCAGAAGCAAAUUACACUGUAUCAACAAAGCCUCAUAAAAUUCAGGCUCUUGAACUGCCUUUGAAUUUACAUCAAGAAGUUAUCCCCAGAACAACCCAGCUUUACUGUACUUCAGUUAAGACUCAAUUCCUACCUGAAGCCAAGGAUGUUCUAAGGCUUCCUCUGUUGUAAGACGUUUGCUUGGAUCCACUACUAGCAGCUUCUUCACAAGAUCCAGAGCUAAGAUAAUAAAAAGAAUUGGUUGGCAUAUGAUCAAUGAAUUCAUUACCUGAAAAUAAGUUCUGCAAUAUGCAUACACUAAAGCUAUGUGCAACUAUGUGUCUUACAACACUUCAGCACAAUGCCCAAAAACACUGGCUGGGCAGACAACUUUUCUUUUUUCUGUGCAUAGAGAGGGCUGCAGACUGUAACUAUUUUUCCUUCACAUGCACACGAUUCAACACUUUUCAGUAUACCAAAAUUACCAGUAGAUAUACUGAGCAUGUCCCCAAUUUAUGUUCUGAGCAUACACAGAAAGUUCAGCACUUUCCUAAAAGCUUCAGUAUUACUGUGGACAAGCAAAGACAGCUUAAUUUAGUUUCCUGGUUUACGGUGUCUUGGAAAGCAGAUUAUCCCUAUGGGAAGAUGGGAAAGAAGAGACAAGACAUCCACACGUAUGCUCAACAUAAUCGCAUAAGCUUUAUUUUCUUAGGAAACUGCUUAGUAGACACUGUGAAAAAUAUGGCAUUUAUGUAAUAUUUUAUGACUCCAAAACUCCCAUAAAGGAAUUUUAGCAA